CAUCUGUAGAUUCUCCGUUACGGCGGAAGACAGAUGCAUCCAAUCGCUGCUUUUAACACAAACAUCUCCCACUACUCACACGAUUUGUGAUUCAAUGCAUCCCUCAUUACUUCCAUUUUGUAAUUUUCCCUAUAAAUAGGUUUGGAAGCGAAAAAUGUUAAACGCGGCCGCGAGCUUAUGGGGUAGACAUGUUCACCGUCGACGCAGAGUUAAUUCCGGCAAGAAAACUCAUAAUCAUCAAACUAUUUCUUGAAAAGCUUGAGUUUACGUAUUUGGGAGAUGAUUUUUGUUUGGUUUGUUGAUGGUUUUUGUUUGGUCCUUCUCCUUUUUAAUCUCCUCUAUGUACAGUUUCCCGAAAACUUUUUAGAAUUUUUAUUACAAGUGUCUUUCUUUAAAUUUCAUCUUUUAUCUGAGAAAAUGAAUAAACUUUGUGAGAUUUCACGUGA